AUCAUGCAAAAUCCACUUUUUAGACAUUUUGGAGCGUCCCUAUGACUCUAUGGGUCACAUAUACACACACUGAGCACGGUAGAAAUGCAUUUCCUGCUUUUUUCACAUUUUGAAAACGUAAAUUUUCUCACCCAAUGAAAACAGACCACGACCUACUCUGAGGCCGUGUCCCAGUUGUCGUCACACUGGUUGAAAGUUCUCCUUGCAAAUCCUGAACCACCACCCCCACAAUGAUCCCGAACCAAAACUGGACUUCCGCCAUUUCCCCCCUCUCACUCACCGUGAACAGACCAGCACGGCAGCGCCCAAGUCCUCCCAUAGAAAUAGUUCGGUUCUUGGGUGUUCUAACCAACACCAAAGUCUAUUCACUUUAACAAGGGAUCAACAAGUGAGGAUUUGUGGGUCACUUUUAUUUUUAACGGACCGGUGCCAGAAACACUGCCUCAGCAUUUAUACGUAUGUGCAUUUCAAACGAGGGUGCGUACAAUGCUGGAUUUGUUUCACGGCUCCUGUUGGAAAAAAAGGACCUAUUCCUAAAGUCCGUCAUCCACUCACUGAAGAGGGCAAAUCCCAGUUGCCCGCAUGCAAGGAGGCUGUCAAACAGAGAAAUCACUGCAGACUGUUGGUACACAGACAUCUGCUGCCCAGCUCAGGAGUGAAGUACCUUUUGUUUUGAUGAGGUGAUGGUGAGGACAGCCACAGCUUCCAUCUGGUAGAGGACUGCUUCCGCUCAGUCUUCCAAAUAGUGAUGAGAACAAGGAUCACCACAUCUCCCUGUUUACCCUACUUUCAUGCAUUUCGUCUGCAAGGCCCUGCAAAAGCUUCUCCUUCGUCCUCAAACCCCCAGACUUCUUAAUUAACUCAGUAACCUAUACAUUGCACAUUGGAGUGUGAAGGUAACAGUUUGUUCUAGCUUUGGAGUAGUGGUGUAUUUUUUUGGUUUACAAUAAAGUUGGCUUUAACUAUUA